AUUGAACGCUGGCGGCAUGCCUUACACAUGCAAGUCGAACGGCAGCGCGGGAGCAAUCCUGGCGGCGAGUGGCGAACGGGUGAGUAAUAUAUCGGAACGUGCCCAGUAGUGGGGGAUAGCCCGGCGAAAGCCGGAUUAAUACCGCAUGAGACCUGAGGGUGAAAGCGGGGGAUCGCAAGACCUCGCGCUAUUGGAGCGGCCGAUAUCAGAUUAGCUAGUUGGUGGGGUAAAGGCCUACCAAGGCAACGAUCUGUAGUUGGUCUGAGAGGACGACCAGCCACACUGGGACUGAGACACGGCCCAGACUCCUACGGGAGGCAGCAGUGGGGAAUUUUGGACAAUGGGCGCAAGCCUGAUCCAGCAAUGCCGCGUGCAGGAAGAAGGCCUCGG
rnacentral:rRNA from 1 species